rnacentral:misc_RNA from 1 species
GAAAUGCGAAAAGUAAUGUGAAUUGCAGAAUUCAGUGAAUCAUCGAAUCUUUGAACGCACAUUGCGCCCGCUGGAACUCCGGCGGGCAUGCCUGUCCGAGCGUCAUUUCAACCCUCAGGCCCCCCUUUCGGGGGCGGGCCUGGUGUUGGGGACCGGCCGCCUCCUCUGGCGGCCGACCCCUAAAUUCAGUGGCGGCCGCGCCGCGAUCCCUUGCGUAGUAAUCUAACCUCGCACCGGAGAGCGACGCGGUCCACGCCGUGAAACCCCCAAAUUUCAAUGGUUGACCUCGGAUCAGGUAGGAAUACCCGCUGAACUUAA